rnacentral:ncRNA from 1 species
ACAACCUGCGUCUGGCGCAUGAGCAGUUGGCGGUGUUUCGCUCGUUGUUGGGUAUUUCGUGGAUGUGGUUCUUUGGCGCGGUGUUUUUGGCGCAGUUUCCGUCGUUUGCCAAAGAGGUGUUG